AACGUAGGGGACAAGCGUUAUCCGGAUUUACUGGGCGUAAAGCGCCCGUAGGCGGCCUGAUAAGUUGGCUGUGAAAGCUCCCGGCUUAACUGGGAGAGGUCAGUCAAAACUGUGAGGCUAGAGGCUGGAAGAGGAGCGUGGAAUUCCCGGUGUAGUGGUGGAAUGCGUAGAGAUCGGGAGGAACACCAGUGGCGAAAGCGGCGCUCUGGUUCAGGCCUGACGCUGAGGGGCGAAAGCGUGGGGAGCGAACGGGAUUAGAAACCCUGGUAGU
rnacentral:rRNA from 1 species